rnacentral:lncRNA from 1 species
CUUUUUACAUGUCAUUUAUACACAUGUUCAAGUAACAUUGUUUAAACACAUGAGUUGCACAUUCAUGAGAGGUCAAAAUAGGUUUAUAAGUUACUUGUACAAUCAAAAUAGCAUGCUGAGUCCGAUAAUAGAAAAGGGAUGGAUUAAAAAUUUAGAAAAUUAACUAACUUAAUGUUGAGUGAUACCUGGUAAUAAAUGAGCCGAUAAUGUUGAUGGAAUAUCUUCUCCUAAAUAAUUAGAUGGUGAAGAUUCUUUGGAUAAAGUGACGAAGGAGAAGAAGUCAACGUAGGCAAGAAAUCGUUAUAUUGAGGAAAAGGAUAUCAAAGGAACGACAUUCUUCAUAAGAUAUUCAAUUCAUUCCUACGAUAUUUUUUUUUCUCUUUAUAAUAAUCAGGAAUCAAGAGAGACACUGGACAAAAUUCUAAGUUUUAAUAACUAUCAGACCAUUCUUUUACGUGUACAACUCCAAGAAAACUAGAUUUGAAAGUGAAUAUGUGAUAGUUCUUUAUUCCUUUUAAAUGACAGAAAUACUUGUCUAAAAAUUUCCUCAAAUAAUACCACUAUAUUUGUGGGAAUCCACUCUUCUUAGAAGAUAUAACAUCGAAUUUAGUAGAUGCUUUGACGACAACUUCUACUAAAUCUUCCACAGAUUCAAUUUUUUGUUGAUUAUGAGAUUACACCAAUGCUGCGGUCUGACGAAAACUUUGAAUGAUUUUCAACGAGAAAAUGUAAAGAAACUUCAUCAAAUGCAGUACAAAUAACCAUGUAUGUUACAAAAGCCAUAAUGAUAUAAUUUUUAUUCUGGCCUCUAUAAAGGAAAUUAAUUGUUAAAAGUAGAAGGACUUUCCAUUUUAUUCUAACAUUCUUACCCAAAGUUAUCACAUUGAAUCUCAAGACGCAGAAGACCACUUAUACGCUGUAACUCAUGAUAUAAAAGAGAGAUGUCACACAAUUUGA